rnacentral:rRNA from 1 species
AUACGUAGGUGACAAGCGUUAUCCGGAUUUACUGGGCGUAAAGGGCGCGUAGGCGGCCCGGUAAGUCUGGAGUGAAAGUCCUGUUUUUAAGAUGGGAAUUGCUUUGGAUACUGUCGGGCUUGAGUGCAGGAGAGGUAAGUGGAAUUCCCAGUGUAGCGGUGAAAUGCGUAGAGAUUGGGAGGAACACCAGUGGCGAAGGCGACUUACUGGACUGUAACUGACGCUGAGGCACGAAAGUGUGGGGAGCAAACAGGAUUAGAUACCCUGGUAGUCCACACUGUAAACGAUGAAUGCUAGGUGUAGGGGGUAUCGACCCCUUCUGUGCCGCAGUCAACACAAUAAGCAUUCCGCCUGGGGAGUACGGCCGCAAGGUUGAAACUUAAAGGAAUUGACGGGG